rnacentral:tRNA from 1 species
CAGGGAGACAACAAAAUGUUUAAUAUUAUUAUUUUGUCACCUUAGGUCGAUCGGUAUCUCACGUUCUUGAUUUAUUAAGAAUUUCAUUUCCUAAGUUUUUCUAGGUCACACCCAUUAUUUUCCCUGGGCCAUUAGCUCAGGUGGUUAGAGCGCACCCCUGAUAAGGGUGAGGUCCCUGGUUCAAGUCCAGGAUGGCCCAUAUCUCUAUGUUGGGGGUAUAGCUCAGUUGGUAGAGCGCCUGCUUUGCAAGCAGGAUGUCAGCGGUUCGAGUCCGCUUACCUCCACUGAUUACCACCUCUUCCAUAGUCUGUAUAAGGGAAAUGUUUUGAGUUGUGAUCAAAUUCUGAACGAAUCUAGCUUCCUAAUUACAUUAUUAAGAUGCUGGACUCAUUGAAUUAAUUUCAUUGUUUUCAGAGAACCUUGACAACUGCAUAGAUUAUUUUUAAAGAGAAUAAGCAUCUUUAAUGAUGCAGAUUUAUUAUUUGUGCGAAUGCAUUAAUAACAAUUCUAUUAAGCUGAUGCUUCAAUUUUGAAGUUAUU